rnacentral:rRNA from 1 species
UUCCGGUUGAUCCUGCCGGACCCCACUGCUAUCGGGAUGAGACUAAGACAUGCUAGUCGUGCACCUCCAAGCCACGGUGGAGGCGCGGCGCACAGCUCAGUAACACGUGGCUAACCUACCCUUGGGACGGAAAUAACCCCGGGAAACUGGGGCUAAUUUCCGAUAGGUGAAGAUUCCUGGAAUGGAUCUUCGCCGAAAAGGCGUCUAGACCAUGCUUCUAGGCGCUGCCCAAGGAUGGGGCCGCGGCCGAUCAGGUUGUUGGUGAGGUAACGGCUCACCAAGCCUAUAACCGGUACGGGCCGUGGGAGCGGUAGCCCGGAGAUGGGCACUGAGACAAGGGCCCAGGCCCUACGGGGCGCAGCAGUCGCGAAACCUCCGCAAUACGCGAAAGCGUGACGGGGUCAUCCCGAGUGCCGUCCGCUGAGGAUGGCUUUUCCCCAGUGUAGACAGCUGGGGGAAUAAGGAGAGGGCAAGUCGGGUGUCAGCCGCCGCGGUAAUACCCGCUCUCCGAGUGGUGGGGACGCUUAUUGGGCCUAAAGCAUCCGUAGCCGGCUGGUCAAGUCCCCUGUUAAAUCCAGCGAUUUAAUCGUUGGACUGCGGGGGAUACUGUCCGGCUAGGGGGCGGGAGAGGCCGACGGUAUUUCCGGGGUAGGGGUGAAAUCCUAUAAUCCCGGGAGGACCACCAGUGGCGAAGGCUGUCGGCUAGAACGCGCCCGACGGUGAGGGAUGAAAGCUGGGGGAGCGAACCGGAUUAAAUACCCGGGUAGUCCCAGCCGUAAACGAUGCAGGCUAGGUGUUCGGGUGGCUACGUGCCACUCGAGUGCC